CGGCGUGCCCCGGGGCGGGCGAUGCCGAGGGCGCAGCCGGCACCGAGGGAACAAAGGCGGCGGCGGCGGCGGGGAACAAAGAGCGGCAGCUCCAGUCUUCCUUCAUCCCCACUGGGGCCCGAAAGCGCCAGCUCCGUCUGCACGGCUGGUAAGCGGGCCCGGCCCCGAAAGCUGCCUCUGGCCCCUAGCAGCGCUCGGGCUCUCCUGCGGCAGCCGCGGGGACCCAGCGCCCGGCACGUCGUUCAGCGAGGCCGUGCACGUGACGGCGUCGGCUGCCUUUGGCUGCCAAGCCAGCACUCCUGAAGCGUAAACGGGGACUGAUUACGUGAAUGUGGAGCAAAAUGGCUUCUAACAGGACUUCAGGGGUUUUUUGAGGGGGGAGGAAUUCCUUGCCUUAAACUCACCCUUUUGGAUAGCUGUCGAUUAUACACUUCACAAAGCAGUGAGAGGACAUAAAUGAUGAGAAUGAAAUCAUUUACACACCCCAAGAUCACUGGCUAUCUAAAUAAAAAAGUAACUUUCCAAAAGCCACUUCCUGCCAGUGCCAAUACAUUAUUUUUUUCCUGACUCUGUACUGAUAAAACAGCUGAAAUGAAUAGAAACAAGUAAGGUCCUGUAUUUGAAGGCUACAAAGCCAAAUAUGGCACUCCUUCCUGCCUGCUUAGUCAAGCCUCUCUUUGUAUCUGCAGAUGCAUCUAAGUAAGCUCUGCCAGAUUUGCCCUGAUUUUCUGUAAUGAUUUUUUUUUCCAUGCAAAAGUGAACCCAGCACCUUUUUAAGUGCCAUUUUAGCAGAAACUGGAGAAUGCAAUGUCUCGCAAAAGUGCCAGCCGAAGCUGAUUCCAGCUAGACUGCCCUGCCUUAGCAAACACCUGCUCUGAUUCACACUGUCCUUGCAACAAAUCCAGCUGUGAAGAACUGAUCUUUUUAUGAAGUUACUGCUUUUUUUUAAAUUGAGGAUUAAUUACUGUAUGUAAAGUGAAAGUGUUGUCUUUGAUAGUUUGCAGAGAAUCAAGAUCAAGGCAAAGGGCUGCAUUCAGGCUGCCAACUGUUGAUUCCUAGCUUAGAUGUUACAGCUCCUGUGAUGCUUAUGUUCAAAGAGAAACAAGCAUUUCAGACCUGUCUACUCCCUCUGACUGUAAGAUACAAGAUUUAUAUUUAGUUACGGGAGAAAAGUUGAUUCAGUAUCUAUGUUAAAUUCUAUUACUUCAAGAAUUAUUUCAAAAACCCUCUUGCUUACUUUGAGACUGCUCCAGAUCCCAUCAAAGGCAGUAGGAAAAGUCUCGUGAAGUCUUGAUCUUUCGUGCAUGCAGAGUAGCAGCCACAUUAUUGUUCUGUGCUCUUCCCACUGACUUUGCUCCAAUGUGGAGCUCACCAAUCCAGCACACUUAGUACUGCGGGUGCCUGUCAUGCUUUGUAAAACACGGAGGUCCCACCCCAAGGUGCUUUUUUGCACUAAAUUAUGCAUUUGCCAUAAUUAGCUUGUAAAGUAUUUUGAAGACACAACACUAAACAAUAAUAAUGCUAAAUAGUAUUAUUGGACAGAUACAAUGCAAGCAAUUAAAUAGUAAUACAAUCAAAAAAAAAGUGUGGGCCACAAAGAUAGAAUUGUCAUGUUUGUCUACUUUAUAUCCAUAUCUCCUGGCUGUUGGUUACUCAGUACAACAUGGCACUCUCAAAAUAAA